rnacentral:rRNA from 1 species
UACGAAGGGGGCGAGCGUUGUUCGGAUUUACUGGGCGUAAAGGGCGCGUAGGCGGCCCCUCAAGUCAGGCGUGAAAGCCCCGGGCUCAACCUGGGAGGUGCGCUUGGGACUGGGGGGCUGGAGUUCGGGAGAGGAGCGUGGAAUUCCCAGUGUAGAGGUGAAAUUCGUAGAUAUUGGGAAGAACACCGGUGGCGAAGGCGGCGCUCUGGACCGAGACUGACGCUGAGGCGCGAAGGCGUGGGGAGCAAACAGG